UACGUAGGUGACCAGCGUUGUCCGGAUUUACUGGGCGUAAAGAGCGCGCAGGCGGUCGUUCAAGUCGAGUGUGAAAGCCCCCGGCUCAACUGGGGAGGGUCACUCGAUACUGAUCGACUUGAAGGCAGGAGAGGGAAGCGGAAUUCCCGGUGUAGUGGUGAAAUGCGUAGAUAUCGGGAGGAACACCAGUGGCGAAGGCGGCUUCCUGGCCUGUUCUUGACGCUGAUGCGCGAAAGCGUGGGGAGCAAACAGGG
rnacentral:rRNA from 1 species